rnacentral:rRNA from 1 species
AUUAGAGUUUGAUCAUGGCUCAGGAUGAACGCUGGCGGCGAUUGGGACUAAGUCGUAACAAGGUAACCAGAGUUUGAUCAUGGCUCAGGACUACUAAGUCGUAACAAGGUAACCAACCCCGCUAGUGACUAGAGUUUGAUCAUGGCUCAGGACUACUAAGCCGUAACAAGGUAACCAAUCCCGCUAGUGACUAGAGUUUGAUCAUGGCUCAGCCUAAGUCGUAACAAGGUAAAU